CAUGCAAGGCGAGGGCGCAGCAAUGUGACCGCCGUACGGGUGCGUAACGCGUAUGCAACCUACCCAUCACAGGGGGACAGCCCAUGGAAACGUGGAUUAAUACCGCAUAAAGCAGGGGCACUGCCUGGUGAUACUGCUAAACAUUUAUGGGUGAUGGAUGGGCAUGCGUCUGAUUAGCUAGUUGGUCGGGUAACGGCCUACCAAGGCGAUGAUCAGUAGGGGAGCUGAGAGGUUUUCCCCCCACACGGGCACUGAGACACGGGCCCGACUCCUACGGGAGGCAGCAGUAGGGAAUAUUGGACAAUGGGGGCAACCCUGAUCCAGCCAUGCCGCGUGAGUGAAGAAGGCCUUCGGGUUGUAAAGCUCUUUCAUUCGGGAAGAAAACGCGCGCUCUAACAUAGCGUGUGGAUGACGGUACCGACAGAAGAAGCACCGGCUAACUACGUGCCAGCAGCCGCGGUAAUACGUAGGGUGCGAGCGUUAAUCGGAAUUACUGGGCGUAAAGCGUGCGCAGGCGGUUUGCCAAGACAGGCGUGAAAUCCCCGGGCUCAACCUGGGAACUGCGCUAGUGACUGGCAGGCUAGAGUACGGCAGAGGGGGGUGGAAUUCCUGGUGUAGCAGUGAAAUGCGUAGAGAUCAGGAGGAACACCGAUGGCGAAGGCAGCCCCCUGGGCCUGUACUGACGCUCAUGCACGAAAGCGUGGGGAGCAAACAGGAUUAGAUACCCUGG
rnacentral:rRNA from 1 species